AACGAACGCUGGCGGCAUGCCUAACACAUGCAAGUCGAACGAGACCCUCGGGUCUAGUGGCGCACGGGUGCGUAACGCGUGGGAAUCUGCCCUCUGGUUCGGAAUAACUCAGGGAAACUUGAGCUAAUACCGGAUAAUGACUUCGGUCCAAAGAUUUAUCGCCUGAGGGUGAGCCCGCGUCGGAUUAGCUAGUUGGUGAGGUAAAGGCUCACCAAGGCGACGAUCCGUAGCUGGUCUGAGAGGAUGAUCAGCCACACUGGGACUGAGACACGGCCCAGACUCCUACGGGAGGCAGCAGUGGGGAAUAUUGGACAAUGGGCGAAAGCCUGAUCCAGCAAUGCCGCGUGAGUGAUGAAGGCCUUAGGGUUGUAAAGCUCUUUUACCCGGGAUGAUAAUGACAGUACCGGGAGGAUAAGCCCCGGCUAACUCCGUGCCAGCCGCCGCGGUAA
rnacentral:rRNA from 1 species